AGCGAACGCUGGCGGCAGGCCUAACACAUGCAAGUCGAACGAACCUUUCGGGGUUAGUGGCGGACGGGUGAGUAACACGUGGGAACGUGCCUUUAGGUUCGGAAUAACUCAGGGAAACUUGUGCUAAUACCGAAUGUGCCCUUCGGGGGAAAGAUUUGUCGCCUUUAGAGCGGCCCGCGUCUGAUUAGCUAGUUGGUUGAGGUAAUGGCUCACCAAGGCGACGAUCAGUAGCUGCUCUGAGAGGAUGAUCAGCCACAUUGGGACUGAGACACGGCCCAAACUCCUACGAGAGGCAGCAGUGGGGAAUCUUGCGCAAUGGGCGAAAGCCUGACGCAGCCAUGCCGCGUGAAUGAUGAAGGUCUUAGGAUUGUACAAUUCUUUCACCGGGGACGAUAAUGACGGUACCCGGAGAAGAAGCCCCGGCUAACUUCGUG
rnacentral:rRNA from 1 species